rnacentral:rRNA from 1 species
UACGUAGGGUGCGAGCGUUAAUCGGAAUUACUGGGCGUAAAGCGUGCGCAGGCGGUUUGUAAGCCAGAUGUGAAAUCCCCGGGCUCAACCUGGGAAUGGCAUUUGGGACUGCAAGGCUCGAGUGCGGCAGAGGAGACUGGAAUUCCUGGUGUAGCAGUGAAAUGCGUAGAUAUCAGGAGGAACACCGAUGGCGAAGGCAGGUCUCUGGGCUGACACUGACGCUCAUGCACGAAAGCGUGGGGAGCAAACAGG